CUCUGUUUUCCUCACCUGUAAAAUGGGGCUGCUAUGUGGACAUGUGAAAGCAUUUAGCAAGGUACCAGGUAGGUACCCAGUGUAUGUAGCCACUUGUUGAAAAGGUAAGCAGAGAUGAAGGAUUCCUGAUCUCCAUACACUCUCAAAACGUCAAAAAGCAUUUCAGAUUCUUAGGUAUUUCAACUGUGCAUGGCAAUGGAUCAAAGUUUCAGGGAACAUUAAGUAUUCUGUAGACUUUAAUCUCUCUAAAGUAACAAUUUACAAAUUAUAUUUUCUCUCAAGGAUUCUUCUGGCAGAACCAAGACAAAUAUGCUAGUAACAGAAACCACAAGAAGAAUGGAAGAUGAACAAUCAAUAUAACCACUAUGUAAAUAUCAGGCAGAUGCUCUUCUUUCAACUGGAUCAAAGUUGCUAAGUCUUCAUGCUGGUGUCUCCUUUUUAAAACAAAUAUGUUGCUGCAGAUGGUUUAUAUCCUUUUCAUUAAACUGUGGGAUUUCACAUAGUACAGUCAGACUUUGGCAAUACCCACUGCCCUGUGCUCUCUCCAGCUCUGCCGAAUGCCCCUCUCCUCACUCCCACAGUAGCCCUAUAAGAAGGAAUAAAGGUUGGAGAAAUGCCUCAUGUGGUAUUGGAGAGUGGGCCCAUUAUCCAAGAAGUUCAGGCCAUCUUUUCCAUGUGGUCUGAGUGGGUCGACCCCAGGCUGUACUCCCUCUGGGUGGAGUCAAUGGCAUGUUCCUCUGACCUCAUGAACUAAUGAUGGAUGGCUUCUCCAGAUGGGGCUACCUGCACAUGCCCUUCCUCUCUCCUUAAAAACAGAGGCCAUUACUGUAUAUUGUGUUUGGCCAAACUUGAAAACCACCACAAAUGUUCUGUUACUCAACUGCCCCCUCCUCUGAAGUGCCUGUAAUUUACCCCCGGGGAAAAUUGCAUUGUGAGCUUGUGAUCAAACCUUGUAUGGUAACUCUUCACUUGUGAUCAAAUAGUUUGUAGGUCAAAAUGUGACUAUGCAUUGUGUUGCCUUGUGUUUGGGUUAAUAAUUACCUUAACCUUC